CCUCAAAUCAGGUAGGAUUACCCGCUGAACUUAAGCAUAUCAAUAAGCGGAGGAAAAGAAACUAACAAGGAUUCCCCUAGUAACUGCGAGUGAAGAGGGAAAAGCUCAAAUUUAAAAUCUGGCGGUCUUUGGCUGUCCGAGUUGUAAUUUAGAGAAGUGUUACCCGCGUUGGACCGUGUAUAAGUCUCCUGGAAUGGAGCGUCAUAGAGGGUGAGAAUCCCGUCUUUGACACGGACUACCAAGGCUUUGUGGUGCGCUCUCAAAGAGUCGUGUUGUUUGGGAAUGCAGCACUAAAUGGGUGGUAAAUUCCAUCUAAAGCUAAAUAUUGGCGAGAGACCGAUAGCGAACAAGUACCGUGAGGGAAAGAUGAAAAGAACUUUGGAAAGAGAGUUAAACAGUACGUGAAAUUGCUGAAAGGGAAACGCUUGAAGUCGGUCGCGUUGGCUAGGGAUCAACCUUGCUUUUGUGGGGUGUACUUCCUAAUCAACGGGUCAACAUCAGUUUUGAUCACUGGAAAAAGGCUAGUUGAAUGUGGCAUCUCCGGAUGUGUUAUAGCUUCUAGUCAUAUACAGUGGUUGGGACUGAGGAACUCAGCACGCCGCAAGGCCGGGUUUUAACCACGUACGUGCUUAG
rnacentral:rRNA from 1 species